GUUUUUAUUAUGAGAUUGUAUGGAAUGAUACGUUAUAGACGUAUCUGUAAGGAUGAUCGGCGGCGGCUUUGCUCGGCGAUCGGUUGUUCCGCACGCGAGAGAGGUUCUCGUCGGGCAGAGAAAGAAGUUAUUGAAAGCUUUGUAAGAGACGUGAAUUUUUUGGGAAAUAAACUUAUCACUCAUUACCAUAAUA